rnacentral:rRNA from 1 species
CGCGUAGGGUGCGAGCGUUGUCCGGAAUUAUUGGGCGUAAAGAGCUCGUAGGCGGUGUGUCGCGUCGGCCGUGAAAACUUGGGGCUUAACUCUGAGCGUGCGGUCGAUACGGGCAUCACUUGAGUUCGGCAGGGGAGACUGGAAUUCCUGGUGUAGCGGUGAAAUGCGCAGAUAUCAGGAGGAACACCGGUGGCGAAGGUGGGUCUCUGGGCCGAUACUGACGCUGAGGAGCGAAAGCAUGGGGAGCGAACAGG